CUUCCCAGGUCAGCGGGUGGGAGGCGCGGGAGGAGCCGGCUCCCGGAGGGAGAGGUCUUUCCUCGCCCGGCCCGGGGCACACCUGGUGCCGCUGGAGCAGCGCGCCCCACUCGGCACACCUGCCCUCCGCUCCUCGAUGGACCUCAGGUGCCCGAGAGGUGCUCCACUCCUCCCCCUGGGCUGAGCGAGGCGAAGAAUCACCGCCCCCUUCCCCCGCCUUUUCCUGCCCGGAUCUUCGCCGCCACCUCGUCUCGCGGCUCCCGGGCCGGGGUGAGGACGGGUCCGGAGUCUCUGGGGUUUGGCGUUGUUGUCAGCCUCGGGGCGAGAGAUUGGACAACUAUUCUCCCAGAGGAGGAGGGCGACGCCAAGGACUUUCCACUUCGACUGCUUUUGGGGGUUCUCCGCAACUUGGGGAGAGUGACCCUUUCCGGUUUUUUUU